UACGUAGGGGGCAAGCGUUGUCCGGAUUUAUUGGGCGUAAAGAGCUCGUAGGCGGUUCCGUAAGUCGUGAAGUCAAAUCUCUGGGCUCAACCCAGAAUCGCUUCCGAUACUGCGGUGACUGGAGUCCGGUAGGGGAGUGUGGAAUUCCUGGUGUAACGGUGAAAUGCGCAGAUAUCAGGAGGAACACCAAUGGCGAAGGCAGCACUCUGGGAUGUGACUGACGCUGAGACGCGAAAGCGUGGGGAGCAAACAGG
rnacentral:rRNA from 1 species